UGCGUAGGUGGCGGGGUAAGUCGGAUGUGAAAUCUCGGAGCUCAACUCCGAAACUGCAUUGGAAACUACCUUGCUUGAGGGUUGGAGGGGGGACGUGGAAUACUUGGUGUAGCAGUGAAAUGCGUAGAUAUCAAGUGGAACACCAGUGGCGAAGGCGAGUCCCUGGACAACUCCUGACACUGAGGCACGAAAGCUAGGGGAGCAAACA
rnacentral:rRNA from 1 species